ACGGUAUUCUUGUAAUUUGAAAGAGUGGGAGUCGGAUGUUAACAAUAUAAUUAAAGCAAGUAUGCGUCCAGACGCUGACUUAGCUUUGUUAGAGCUGUCGAGAUAAAACCUAGUCAGCUAUAAUCAGUACUAGUACGAACUGAAAGAAGCUGGUCCAUGUAAGUAUUAUACUCGUGCUUCGUUCUCGAGAUUAGUAACCUGAAAUAAUAAACUUAUUACUUAUUCACAUCUGUAGUAUCACCCAGGAUUCACCACAUGCACUGAAUGUUGAGAGGUAAAAGAUUUUUUUUUUUUUUUUUGUUUGCGAGGUGUUUAAAUGCAGGAAAAAGACAAAGACUCUGCCCUCUUAAAACAAUUAAUGGAUGCGGCAAAACUGAUGUGUGACACAUUACACUCGGAUUCAGUCAAAAGGCGGUACUUUGCCUUAUCGUCGUUAAAAAAAGACGUUAAUGAGCAUUUGGCGCCCACAAAGAUAGACAAAUAUCUUUUCGGGGAAACCCUAGCGGACACAUUGAAGGCUGCCAAAGCUGUGACGAAAUCUGGGGCCGAUAUAAAAGUCACCUAUGAUAAAAAUAGGAACCACAGCCUACCAGCCAACACAUACCAACCACAGCCAUCAACUUCGCGUGGUUUAAACUGGAAGGCUCCCGCUUCGACUCGCAGGCAGUCGGGGCCGCAGAGGAGCCGCCAGCCUUACCCGUCUGCUGGAACGAGGGCGCCACCGCCGCCGACGAGCCGGCCACCGCCGCCGCCGCACGUCAGCUCGUCGAGGACAUCGCGCAAUCAGCCGCGGUCGAUCCGCCGCCGGUAAAUCAGGUUACUAAUCUCUUCGAACGAAGCACUUCGUAUAAUUAUGAUUGAACUUCACGUACAGGUAAGUUCGUUUAAUCAUCAAAUAUA
rnacentral:misc_RNA from 1 species